rnacentral:rRNA from 1 species
UACGUAGGGGGCUAGCGUUGUCCGGAAUCAUUGGGCGUAAAGCGCGCGUAGGCGGCCAGAUAAGUCCGGUGUGAAAGUCACAGGCUCAACCUGUGAAUGCCGCUGGAAACUGUCUGGCUUGAGUCCGGAAGGGGCGAGUGGAAUUCCUGGUGUAGCGGUGAAAUGCGCAGAUAUCAGGAAGAACACCAAUGGCGAAAGCAGCUCUCUGGGACGGUACUGACGCUGAGACGCGAAAGCGUGGGGAGCGAACAGG